AACGAACGCUGGCGGCAUGCCUAACACAUGCAAGUCGAGCGAGACCUUCGGGUCUAGUGGCGCACGGGUGCGUAACGCGUGGGAAUCUGCCCUUCGGUUGGGAAUAACUGAGAGAAAUUUCAGCUAAUACCUUAUAAUGUCUUCGGACCAAAGAUUUAUCGCCGAGGGAUGAGCCCGCGUAGGAUUAGGUAGUUGGUGGGGUAAUGGCCUACCAAGCCGACGAUCCUUAGCUGGUCUGAGAGGAUGAUCAGCCACACUGGGACUGAGACACGGCCCAGACUCCUACGGGAGGCAGCAGUGGGGAAUAUUGGACAAUGGGCGAAAGCCUGAUCCAGCAAUGCCGCGUGAGUGAUGAAGGCCUUAGGGUUGUAAAGCUCUUUUACCCGGGAUGAUAAUGACAGUACCGGGAGAAUAAGCUCCGGCUAACUCCGUG
rnacentral:rRNA from 1 species